GUGCGUCGCGCUACGGCACUGCAGGACGCGCGAGGUAGCCUGAUGAGUUGCUCUUCGAUUCAGCGGCGUGACGGGUGAGUAAUACCUAGGAAUCUGCCUGGUAGUGGGGGACAACGUUUCGAAAGGAACGCUAAUACCGCAUACGUCCUACGGGAGAAAGCAGGGGACCUUCGGGCCUUGCGCUAUCAGAUGAGCCUAGGUCGGAUUAGCUAGUUGGCGAGGUAAUGGCUCACCAAGGCUACGAUCCGUAACUGGUCUGAGAGGAUGAUCAGUCACACUGGAACUGAGACACGGUCCAGACUCCUACGGGAGGCAGCAGUGGGGAAUAUUGGUCAAUGGGCGAAAGCCUGAUCCGGCCUUGCCGCGUGUGUCAAGAAGUGCUCCGGAUUGUAAAGCACUUUAAGUUGCUAGGGAGACGAGCUGGCGAAUGCCUUGCUGUUUUGAUGUUACUGAUAGAGUAGGCACCGGCUAAUUCUUUGCCAGCUCAUUCGAUAAUACAGCCUGGUGCAAGCUCUACUCGGUAUUACUGAUCGUAACGCGCGCGCCGGCGGUUGGUGGGCUCCGAUGUGAUACCUCCGAGUUCAACCUUGCAGCUGCUUCUCACCCUGCGGAGCUAUAGUGCGUUAGAGUGCGCACUAAUAUCCUCGUGUAUUCCUAAAAUUAGUUGAUAUCGUAUGCAGCAUGGGAUGACGAGGUGUCUAACUCUGUUUAUCUCCGCCACUUAUCGCCGCAUAACGUGUCAGUAUGAGCCGAGUAGAUACCUCGUCAGUCGCGCGCUAUACGAUGAUCUACUAGCCUUUAGCGAUCCUUCAGAAUUUACGUGCAGCAGUCUGACCGCAACUCAUGUCUACCCCACGUGUGGAUUACAGGUCGCCAAGGUUGAGACUUGAGAUAUAUCCGAUCCGAGCUCAGCGAACACGCUUAGCAGCACGUGAUGUCACAUUCGAGUCACAGGUUAGACUGUACCAUGCUGACUCGACGUACCUGUUCGAAU
rnacentral:rRNA from 1 species